rnacentral:lncRNA from 1 species
ACGUUAUGGUACUUGAUAGUUCAUACAUACAAUCUAACUUGUAAGCAUGUAAAAUUACAGAGAGAAUUACAAACUUUAAAAAUAAAAACAUGGGAUUUUAUUUUAUUUUGGUUUUAUCAUAUUUUUGAGAUAGCAUGAAGGAAAAAGACCCAAAGCUGUGUAUUUAUUUUUCAGCAGUCAUAAACAUCCCAUAAUUACGCUGAAAGUUGAUCCAUCGGUACUCAAAUGGAACUGCUGAAACCUUUAUUGUAAGCAUAUUCUACAAGGGAAUCGAGCUCAUCAUUGGUGCAGUCGAUCAAAUUGUCCUUAUUUUUAUCAGCAACGUCCAUGGCCUCUUCAACUUGCUUGUUUGGCAUUAGUGCACCUAGAUGUUCAAAAGCAUCCUUGAGCUGGUUCCUGUUGAGGCUGCCUUGCUUCGAGUAAGCUCGAAAAACUUGUUCCAAUUUGUUUUUCUGAUCCUUGUUAUCCUUUGUGGCUUGCAUUGGGGUUUUUGAGGUUUAUGACAGAGUGAUAAUAGAGAGCAGGCUUGCCUAGC